CUUUCAAGGUGACGAUGUGCCAGGAGUGGAGCAAGAAUGGGCAUUGCCAGAGAAGCUAGAACGAAGCGGACGGAGUCACUGAUGAGGCUGACGGGUUAGGAUGAGACCUUUAUUUCUGUGAGGCCCGGUUGCCUUGUGUUGGAGCUCUAACUGCGUUUUCUUAGAUCCCGUAUUUGCCCGUUUGGCACCCAUUACUCACAGAGCCAAGCGAACAGCGAAGGUUGUUUAUGUCUCCCCUGUGACGCGGCUUUUAUGGGCAUACAAAAAUUACAUUACAAAUCCUCCAACCAAUCCUGAUCAACAUCCCCAACCACCUCCUUUGUCUCUCUCAUACACACACACACACCAAACCAAUAUUUGCUCUGCACUAAAUCACCCCAGGACCAGGUAACGAUCAUCUUAAUGCGCACAGCUUGCCAACAUUAUUCAAACUAUCCAGUCCUAAGCGGCUUACCCUCUCCGUGUCUCUCCUACAGAAACUCUGAUAAACACUCUGAGCCCUGCUCUCUUCUUUGCCCUUUCUGCCCUUGGCUGGCCUGGGGCUUCCCCAUGUGAGCCUGGAGAGUGUACCGUGACUCCUGCUUCUAGGGACCGGUGACAAUCAUUUUUUCAUGGCAAUCAUUCUGCAGUCUGCACGUCUCACCACACUUGAUUAGACCAGUUCUGGCCACAGAUUUUAGAACAGUAAAGUGUCAGUAUUUUUUUCGAAGCGUAAUGAUGAAAACUUGGGUCUGCCUGGAUGUUAGGAACCACAGUGUUAGGUUUGGAGGCGCUUCCCAGCAUUUAAAUUCUUUAAAUAUCUUGGGAAUGUCCCCACCAUGAAGGUUCCACAUAGAACAGCGGUUCUCAACCUGUGGGUCGCGAUCCCUUUGGGGGUCGAACGACCCUUUCACAGGGGUCGCCUAAGACCAUAGGAAAACACAUAUAAUUACAUAUUGUUUUUGUGAUUAAUCACUAUGCUUUAAUUAUGUUCAAUUUGUAACAAUGAAAAUACAUCCUGCAGAUCAGAUAUUUAUAUUACAAUUCAUAACAGUAGCAACAUUACAGUUAUGAAGUAGCAAGGAAAAUAAUUUUAUGGUUGGGAGUCACCACAACAUGAGGAACUGUAUUAAAGGGUCACGGCAUUAGGAAGGCUGAGAACCACUGACAUAGAAGCUCAAAACACCAGAUCCUGCUUCCUCUGCCUUCCUUCCAUCUAACUCAUGGGCACAUGACUAACCAGAUGUGUCUGUCCUGGCCUUUGCAUAGGGAGCUAGUGACACGAGAAAGCAGGGAGGGAGGGGAAUUAGCCUGGCAGCAGCGUAGCGGCAGCAUCAGGAAUGGCUGGUUCCCAGGCACAGCAGCACCAGCAGCACCAGCCACAGUACAGGCUGUGCCUCCGGGUCUGCGGCCGCAGGGCCCCCGGGCAGGUGGCGGUCCUGAUCUUGGCUCCAGUCUGGCGGAUGCUUCCCUGCUCUCACCUGUGCCCCACGCAGGUUCUCCAGAUUUCUAAGUGUUUCUGUGAACUGCCCACCAUCCUUGGAUAAAGUCAUUUGCUGCUUCCAAGUAAAUCACUAGGCUUUUAGUGCUUAUAAUCAGGAACCCUGAUUGAUACAUCCUAUGAUUAUUUUCUUUCUUGCCUCAUUUCUGUCUCUUUUCCUUAUUUCCUUCCUUCCUUCCUCCUGUCUUCCUGUCUUUCUCUCUGGAGAAUGUAUGUAUUAAAUACUUAUAUAAUUUUAAAUAUAUACACACACACACUAUAUAUAUGUAUAUAUAUAUAUAUGUAUAUAUAUUGAUAUAUAUAUAUGUUGAUAUAUAUAUCAAGAUGAAAGUAAAUAUGGUGAAAUACUAACAUUUGCUAAUUAUGGGUAAUGGGAAUAUGGGUAUUGUUAUCAUUUUUUAUUUUAAGUACUUAAAUUUUCUCAAAAGAUAAUAGCAAUAUGCACAUGUGUAAAUGUAUGCAGAGAGGGUGCUAUUCCACUGUUCUAAGCCUUUUAUUCAUACUAACUCCUUGACUCCUCAAACAAACAUCCUCCUGUUACAUAUGAGGGAAAUGGGGCACCGACAACUUAAGAGACCUGCCCCAAAUCACAAAGCCGGAAACCAAUCCCUGGCAGUCAUGUCCGAGGCUGCCCUUUGCUUUCACAAAAUAAGGGAUGAAAUAGCAAGUAGCUUAAGGGAGAGGCAGAAGGCAAAGAGUGUUUUCAGGAUGGAAGAUGAACUUACUCAUGGGCUGAGGGGGAGGAGAAGGGGAAGACCUGAGGACACCUGGGGACAGUUAAUAGAUGGGGCACUGUCGAGGCCGCAGGUGCUAACUGUGCCUGCAGGGGAGGAGGAGCAGACCCCCGGUUUGAUGCCAGAAGGAAGGAUGCCAGAGGCCUGUUGGCGGUUGGGAGGAGGAUGACCUUGCUUCUCUGAGAAAUGGAAGGCAAGGUCACCCGCCAGGAGGCUGAGAGGUGGCAGGCCAACCGGGUGGUAGCAGGAGAGACCUGGUGUUCCCACAGGAGGCUGGCUGGGGGAGACAGGGCUCCAGGGGAGAAGGGCAAGGAGAGAACUGUAGGCUGGCUGUCCAGCGACUCCAUCCUUUUUCACUCAAAACCACACUGCUCUGUGGACCCACAGACCCAGGACUGAGCAGAUUCCCCACCUGAGGGUGGGUCAGGGCCCAGGCAGGGAUCCAGGGACACGGGGUCCUUCGGAGCAAAGAGCAAAGCAUCCUAGUAACUGGACAAGAGAAAGCAAAUCUGUUGUCUGUCCCCACUGGACACAGACUGAAUAGUCACAGGCUCCGCCUCCUCCCCUCCAGAGAGGGUGUGUGUGUGUGUGUGUGUGUGUGUGUGUGUGUGUGUGUGUGUGAGAGAGAGAGAGAGAGAGAGAGAGAGAGAGAGAGAGAGAGAGGAUGAGAGCGAGAGUGUGUGUGCUUGCCAAGCCAGCAGUCCCUCCUGUGGACGGGUUUGCCUUUUACCUACAGAAGCCUUUGUGUGGAGCUCUCCACGCCCUCUCAGUAGCACCUGCCUGAGGCUUCCCUGGCUGCUGGGGCUGGGAGCCCCGGGCAGACCGACCUGUCUGCAGAACUUGUCCGGCCCUCCCCGGGAGGCCAGCCGGACUCUCAGAGUCAGGUCUUCCUCGUCAGCCUCUGAGUGACCACGAAAUGAAGGCACCCAGCUCUGCUCUGCACCUGCCUCUCUGCUUUGGGGGACUUUUGUCAGCUGACCAGGAUCUCCAAGCCAGGCUGGUUCUCCGCAUUCUUUGAAUGGCCGGUCUUCUUCUGUGGCCACAGUGCAUUUGAUUGGAAGGAGGAGUGAGUGAAGUUGCACAUAGAAGGACCUCCUACAACCUUGGAUUUAGUGUUCUCAUCAGGACCACCCACGCUCAGCUCUCUGUCCCCAAUGCCUGGAACAUUGUUGGCCCCAUAACAGUUGCAGGAGAGGAAAGAUGAAUGAUUAAAUGAAAGAAUGAGUCAUUGGAUUAUCGGAACAAGUGUUCCAUGGUCUUGUUCUCUAAACUAAGGCCUAAGUCUUGGUCUCCUUCAGACUCUUCAGUCUUUAUCCAGCUGGCACACAUGGUCAACAGACGGUGCCAUGGGGUUUUUUGUGCCCUGAUAACCAUGGAGCACUGGGUCCCUGACCCAACCCUCUGCAGCUGCCAGGAGCUUUGUGGGCACGAUCCCAUCUGCUCGCUGCCCCAUCUGGAGAGGUGGUCAGGGCAGAGAGUGUGCCAUCUUUCUCUUCUAGAUAAGACAAAAUGCCAGCGGGUCGAACGCCCUGCACAAGGCUGCUCAGCAGGUGGUGGGGCCAAGACUCAAAGGCACACUUACAAACUCCUCUCCUGCAGGGAGGACGGGAGGGUGGGGUGACAGGUUGAGGAGAAAUGAAGCACCAGUGAUGGAACCCUACUCCAAGAGUUGGGACUGAAUGGCCUGGGGGCAUGAGGAUGAGCCAGAUGGAACGGGUUUUAUGACUCCAUUAAUAAUAAUUCUGAUCGCCACCUGAACUCGGUGGUGACACCAUUAAAGGACCUCCAGCCGUAUCCUUUUUGUUUUUCUUUUUAAAUUGCAGUAAAAUAUAGAUAAUAUAAAAUUUACCAUUAGUGACAUUUGGUACAUUCACAAUGUUGUACAAGUUGUCACCCCUAUCUAGUUCCAGAACAUUCUCAUCAUCCUAAAAGGAAACCCUGGUGCCUACUAUUUGUAUUGAGAGUCAGAUAAUAUACUGAGGACCUGGCCAGAGCCUAACACAUCGAUACGAACAAGAUAUGCCUGAAUGUAAGACAACCCCAGUCUCCCAAUGAGGAAAGUUUUGUUUUUUUUAAACACCAACUUGAAUAUGUAAACUUUUUAGGGUAAUAUUCAUAUAUUUUCCAGUGACACAUGUUUCCAUUCACACGCUAUAUAAAAUAAUACAUUCACUUAAAAACACCGCUUUCCCCCAACUCUCCACAUUCGCUCACAUCUUUGACGUCAGUGUCCUCCUUAUGACCAGAAGCACUUUUUGAACCAGCUGCCUGCAACCUGGUUUAUAGUAUCGUCUCCACAGUGCAAACAGAGUUGGCUAUUUCUUAUCAUUCCAGAAGAUGUUUAAGCAUUUUUUAAAUAACAGCUUCUUUGAGAUAAA